rnacentral:rRNA from 1 species
UACGGAGGGUGCGAGCGUUGUCCGGAAUCACUGGGCGUAAAGGGCGCGUAGGCGGCUGGGGUAGUCCGUGGUGAAAGCUCGAGGCUCAACUUCGAGUCGGCCAUGGAUACUCCUCGGCUUGAGCGCUGUAGAGGCAGGUGGAAUUCCGGGUGUAGCGGUGGAAUGCGUAGAGAUCCGGAAGAACACCGGUGGCGAAGGCGGCCUGCUGGGCAGUAGCUGACGCUGAGGCGCGACAGCGUGGGGAGCAAACAGG